ensembl:lncRNA
UGAGCGAGAAGAAAGAGAGCAGCAAGCACGCACGUUGACUACUUUUUACCAGUUGUAGACCUCGUCAUGCUGAUCAGGGUGAAAUUCAAUGGUGAACGAAAAUAUGUGAAGAUCAUUGACCUGACACUUGAAAAUCUUUUGAUUGGAGGUAUACUUUUAAUUUGUGAUUGGAAAUAAAUGUAUUGUUUUCAUACCAGUCAGUCUGAUUACUCUUACCAUUACGAUUGCAGUUCUAUUUGUAGGUUGUUUUAAUGUUUGUCACAGCUUUCCUGAAAUUUAAGAUCCCAUUUACUAGUUUCAGAGGCAAAGCUGUGUGAUGGGUCUGGAACUUAAGUUGAUUAUAUUAUAUAUUAUAUUAUGAGGAGAUGGUGACACGGCCAGACCUUGGUGUUUUCAAGCUCACGCUGACCAAUGAUGCUAAAGGUAUGUGCUGGUUUUCAAGUCUUGGUUACUUGUGGCAUCACUUUCAAUAUAACCAUACAUUUGACAUGCCUGUAUUGACAUCUUUGUGUAUUUAAGAUGUCUCUGGCAGUACUGUGAUGGGUGGUUCAGACCAUGAGUCAGUUGAUACGAUCAUAUUGAGCGAGGAUGGAAGCCCCUCACGAAAGCGUCAAAGAUAUGAUGACGAAGCAAAACAUGCACGUUUGUAAUUCAUUCUUCAAUUCAAGUGGCAUCAAAUGGAUUUUUCACUGCUGUUUUUUUUUUUACAACUAAUAGAGAGCAUACUGAAGAAAAAGCCUGGUGGAGAGGUUGUCAUCAAGGAAUACUCCAAAACUAAAAGCCUGACUGACUGCACCAGACUAAAGAUGAUCAACAUUCUUGUUUCGGCGAUGACGGCGACUCAUGGGACAUCACCACCGCGUGAGAGAAACAUUUGCACAAGGCAUCAUCUCCUUGUUCCUAUACCUGAAGGAUUCCUACACGACAAAUGGAUAUGAACAUUACUACGACCCUAAUUAGUGGAGAAGGGUACCUCUCGUAUAGAAUCAAAACCAUUCAGAGGAAUUUGGCUUCAUCAGAGAAACGGCCCACUCAACUAUACUCUGGAGGGCCAACUGCUUAGAGGGAGUCCAGUCCAUCCACUUUGGCCACCCUGAGGGAAGACCAGUGCAGAGAGGCCAUUUAUCUUAUGAAGCAUUCUUCUGAUGAAGAGUCAAACAGAAGAUGAAAUUGACCUUUGAGUACAGGAAGAUGACCUACAACCCGAGUAAAUGCUCCACCAUCCUAACCGAAUUUCCACGCUUUCUUGAUGUGAAGGGUUUGAUAUUGAACAUGAUUUUGUGCUGCUGUUUGGAGAGGGAACAUCAGUCAAGUUUUUGGAGAGGUGGCCAACUACAUUCAAGCAAAAUAUCAUCCUUCUAAGCAAGACCCUAAGCAAGGCAGAAUCUGCAGUUGAUGAGGGAGCUGAGGGAUGAGGGAGCUGACACGAAUGCUGAUGGUUACCGAAACACCACUUCAUGAUACAUUAUCCUCGUUGUAUGCGCAACGAGGCAAAACAUAAUUUCUUUACAAAGCAACUGAAGAGUUUUAAGAAUUUCACUAUGACCUUAGCCAAGAAACAACAAAAUGACAUGGCAUAUAAUUGGGAAACGUUCAGCCAGGGUAGACUAGCUAUAGGUCCAGGAAAGAUGUCAAGGCUCAAUUAGAUUGCUACCAAGUUGAAUGUCUCAGUGCACACAAAUGUUUUGUCAGUUAAAUGGGUUAAGCACCAUGGUACAGAAUAUCGUCUUGAUUUGGCCAUACUGUAUGUGGUGAAGUAGCCAUUGAAGUGCCAGUAUUUUACAAAAUGAAGGCUAUUGUUCUGAAAGAGGAAAAUGUUUUUUUGGUUAGGUCAGCUCUUGAAAUCUUAUGUUUUGUUGAUCAUUUGCAUGCAUUUGAAGUUGUUUUGAAGCCAAGUCCACCAUGCAAGGUAUUUCAUGUAAAUGACAUCAUGUACCACAAACCUUUUGAUUUGCUCAUGUCAAAUGGAGCAAGGGAUUUUUUUGACUACAUUGUCCCCACCUGUCACUUGAUAACAGUUUAAGCCAGGGCUGAUACUUAUGGUUAGGUUGUGAAAAACACAUUUGUUUUUAAUGUAAACAUCAGCAUUUUCCAACAAACCUAUUGAUUUGCUCAUGUCAUAUGGAGCAAGGGAUUCUUUUGACUAGAUUCUACUCUCACUUGAUAACAGUUUCAGCCAGGGCUGGGACUUAUGGUUUGGUCAUAAUGAACAUAUUUGAAUCUUGAAACAGCUUUGAUUGAGUUUAUUGUGAAAUUCCUUUAUAAAAUCUCAUUUCCAUUUACAUGGGGGAAGAGUAAAUACAUUAACACUGAAUAGAGUAAACACAUUUUUACUCUAAUACUCGAAUAGUGUCACUAUAACACUUAAAGUGUUGAAUACCUCAGUGUUCAUUUUGAUCAACACCGGCCAGUGUAGUGCAGUGUUAACUUUUUGCACUCUGUGUUAAAACACUAGAAAUGUAACACUUUGACCAGUGUACUUUUUACUCUGUGUAGAGUGAGACCAUAUGUACUCGCUGACAGUGUUAAAUUUAACACUUUCAAAUUUACUGUGUAGGUAGACACCAACACCAUUAAUAGGGAGGAGAUGGCUGGUUCAUAAAUGUGACCUGAACAACAUUUGAAAACCGUACCCCUUCAAUACAAUGGUUUAAAAUACAUGGGGGGUUCAUAGGUGCUCUGCUGUGAUAGGCUAAAAUAAAUGCUGUUUAGUGAUCACCAGAGAGGAGAAAGGAAGGAAGGCAGGAAGGAAGAUAUGAGAUGUAGAGGAGCUGACACUGACUGCUUUGCUUUCUGUUUGCUGUUUCCCUGGUGACCAAGCCAUAUCUGAUGUCAUGGCUGCGAGGGUGUGUGAGACACUGAUAUCGUAAAUACUGUCCUUAACUAGGUCAUAAUAUAAGCUUCCUACACCCCACCCAGACCCCUCCCUCUUCAAGUACAGACAACAUACACUUCCCACCUUUUUAAAAUCCUAACUCCUCCUUACAGCUGUACAGGACCCCACCUCCAUCCCACCUCUCCUAAUAUCUUCCCAGGACCCCACCAUAGUGCCCUCCAUAUGAACUGUGAGGCAGGAGCGAGGCCAGUGUAAAUGUUGCUGACUUGACAGAGAGACCAGUCAGAGAGCAUCAGGACAUGUUUCCGUUUUUCAGGAAUACACUAUUUUCAAACUAGCUUGUUUACCAUAAAAAAAAUGUGGGGACUCCAUUGUGUCUUUUUACCCCUGCUACAUUAGGUUAGUUCACAAACAUUACAUUCAACCACAGCUAGAGGGAAAUCAGUCAGACCGUUAUGCCUCAUGUUCCUAUGGUAAACGUGUCAAAACAUGUUAAAGUGUGUAUAUUUUGGCUGAAAACAAGGUGUCUACGAGGGCAGUGUCAUUCCA